rnacentral:tRNA from 1 species
GCCUCGCUGGCUCAGUUGGUAGAGCUUGUGACUUUUGAUCUCAGGUUGUGAGUUCAAGCCCCACAUUGGGUG